UCCGCUUCUCCAAAAAUUUUCGACAGAUUGCGCGUGAUUUACGCAACGCAGAUGUGCAAAUUGACAGAUGCUGACAAGUCUCGAUAAAGCAGAGGCCUCUUUAAUAUCUGGAAUUUACGCUUCGAGUUCUGAGCUUCGUUGAAGGCAGAGAUUGCAUGUGACAAGUGCUGACGAGGCUGAGAGAGACAGAUGGUUGGAAUCGGUGCUUCGACAGAUUGCCCGUAAUUUUCGCAAAGCUGAGUUGCGUGUGAUGGGUGCUGACGAGGCUGAGACAGUUGACACUCUUCGGUAUCUGGAAUUGGUGGUUUGUGAGCAAGCCCAACUUUUGAGAAAGCUGGCGCCUCUUCGAUCUCCGAAUGGCUUCUUCGAUUUCUGAGCUCACCUCUUCGAUCUCUGAAAUCCU
rnacentral:lncRNA from 1 species